AUCUAAGGAAACAACAUUUUUCUUUCAGCUUGGGCACAACGGGAGUUCUCUUGCUCUCCCCACUAACCACAAAGUACAUAUCACUUUCUGUGUCUACACUGCCACACUUGUGGAAAGACCACCUCAUGAGUUACAAACAUGCCGCCAUCAUGUUAAGCCUAGGCCAGUGCUUAGGAAAAGUUUGGGUGGCGGUCUUGCUUGCUCAAAGGCAUCGUUCAAGGUGUGGUUUAGUGACCUAGUAAGCAACCAAAUGGAUAGUAAAUGAAAGAAUGGACUGUAUGUGUCUUCCUUCAAAGACAUUGGAAGAUCUCAUCUGUUGGAGUCAAAAUUUGCAAUCAUUGGCCCAGGUUUGGCAAGUAUCACACCAUCCUAGUUGAGUAUGUUCCUUCUGUUAGUAUCUUAUCCUUACAUAGCAUGUUUUUUUACAUAAUACCUUCCCACUCCCAUACAUCCUUUUCAAGCCUUAGUUCAUGACCUAUUAGAGGACUUUUGUUAAUAGAGUUCAUGGCCAUCUCCAACUGGACCAUUUUGAAUAGUUCUGCAUUCUUCAGAAGAAAAGUUAGGCACACUUAGGUAUUUUUUCUUUAUUGGCUUAUUUUAAACCCAUUUGACUAUUCUAGUCAGUCCCUUUUUGGAAACUUAUUCUAGCAUUAAUGGUCUUUUAGUAAUAAAGCUUCAAGUCUAGCUUCUCACUUAGGACAUUCCCAAUGACAUUGGCAAAAUGUAGGUAUACGAUUGCCCACAUUCAUUGUAAGGUUUUAGUAUCAUUCAGGGAUCAGUUAAGUUGCUUUCAACCCUUGGUAGUUGGAAUUGUUUAGAGAUAAAGUAUUCUUUUAAAACAAAUCAAAUUCAUCUACUUACUGUACUCCUAGAUUGUUUUAUAAGAGUAGAGAAACUUUUGGAAAGCAACAUUUUGAUUUGUUUUGUCUUCUUUGGAAGGUUAAAUCACGGUCUUGAGAUAAAAGCAUCAAUAUUUAACAAUGUAGAACUAUAUUUCUAACAAAACAAAUGGAGUAGACUGGAAAACAUUUUCAGGGGUUAGGCUGUCCUUUAUAAGAAUCAGUAUUUUUAUACACGCAGAAAAGAUUCCUGUUUAAAGUUUAGUUUUCUCAACUAGUGGAUUGCCUCUUCCCAUCUAUGUCAUGCUGACCCCUCUAUAGAUUUUUGACAUCCUUUCCAAAGUCUUUUUUCAUUCUUUCUCCUGAUGAUGUGAUUAGCAUAAAUGUGCUUUUCAGCAUUGUCUUAGCAAUCAUGGUUUCUAGUUCAGAUUUUUUCCUCUAUGCUUGAAAGUAGGAUGUGAUCCAUCUCUUUAAAACCAGGGAUCCUAUACCAAAGACCAAACUAUCUUUUCCAUCCUGAAGUUUCAUCUAAAUAACUCCAAGAUGGGAGUGCCCAGUUUUCCUGGGACUACCAGGGAGAAAGGUGGUAGCUGCAGGAAUGUCCUGCCCUGCCCUACUCCUUUUUCAGCUUCUCAUUCUCAGAGGCUUCAAGAAAGUGAAGAGUAGUCUCUUUCCCAAAAGACUGGGAAUACUCAAAAGUCUUCCUGUUAAAUAGAGAGUGACAGCGUGUUUGGGCUUUCCUAGUUGGGGAUGCUACCUUUCCUGCUUGGUAGAAGACAAAAGAUAGUGAGAAAGCUCUAGUCAUUAAACUUUAUGUAUAACCCCAACAGAUGUCAAAAGCAAUAUUACUUAUGGAAAAUAGCAACAGUUGUGAUUGUAGAGUAGUCAUGGAAAAAAUGAGAAAGGAAGGAAAUGUAUGAGCAAAAAAGACCAUAGCUAGAGCAAGGGAUUAUGGAUGGAAUGGAUGGGUGGACAAACGAAUGAAAGUAUGAGUGAACAGAUGAACAGCUCUUUGAUGCUUUUUGGUAGCCCCUAGAUGUAAAGAGAAAGUGAGGUCAACCCCAGCAUGGAUAAGUCCCUUGUGGAACGAACACUUAUGGAAGGCCACAGACAGGCAUUGCACUGCACAGGCUGGCAUGACCCUACUGUGCUGGCACUGCAACUGGAUCUGGAGCUUUCUUUUUGGAGGGAAUAUGCUCAUCAAUAAGAUCACACAUCCAUUUGAGUAUUUCUGAGGAAGAGAUAGGAGACUUUUAACAGUUGCAGAGCCAAACUUUUACUGGUGAAACGUUCUAGUAAGGAAAACUGUAAAAUAAUGAUAAUAUGAAUUAGGAAAUUCCAAAUAUGAGAAAAGAUAUGCUUGAAUUCUUUUUGAAAUCUUCCUUUAAAUUGAUGGAACAUUUCUUUAUAUCUCUAAUGUCAGACAAUUUAGGACAAAAUUAUAUGCUACCAUUUGCCCUAUUUAUACUGUGUUAGUUCUGUUCCCCCCAGCUAGGUUGUAAGAUAGCAAAUAAAGGACCACAUCUUAAGAUUUUUUGUCUCCCUCUAUGAAAUAGCUAGCACAGUGCUAAACAUCUAGUUGGUGUUCAUUCAGCACACACAUUUGCUCCUUGUUUAAUUGAUCUUUGCUAAUCAGGCUCCUCUCUUUUUUUCAACCAAACAAGUUCUUGUGUGUGCUGUAUUAUGUGUUUUUAUCAGAUGUCACAGGUGAAACACAAGAUCUUGGCAUGGAAAGAAGGGGAGAGUUCCAGGUGUUUGUGUUUUUUUAGUAUGCAAAUGCAUUUUCUAUUUUUGAAGUUUCAUAUAAAAGAUUUGCUAUUUGAAUUAUUUUUUGAUCAGCUUAGUAUUUAACUUCUGUGUGACCUAAGUAAGAUUACCAAAAUGCUCUUUGAACCAAACUGUGAACCAACAGCCAGAAUGAACCGCACUCAUUUUCUGAAACCUGACCAGACAUUGCUGCUAUUCUUUUUUUUAACUGAACAGCGAACUGAGCUAAAGUAUGUUUUAUAAGCAUAGCUAAUGAACCAGUUCAAACUGGAACUGGACUAUUUUCAAAAACUAUUGAACCAGAAUAUAAAGAUAUUCACCAAAGGAAUAUUUCAUUCUGUUUGAGACUAUAGCUGAAAUAAUGCAGAUUUUAAUAUGGCAAGAAGACUUCUGUGAACUGAUUCAUAGUGAAGUGAGUAGAACCGGGAGUACAGUAUGCAUAAAGACUUAGAACAGUUAAAUGAAACAGUGAUGUCUAAUUGUAGUCAUGUGAGGCUUGGUCCCCAAGAGGAGUUGAGAAAGAAAACUAGCCUUUCUUCCCUUGUAAAGGUGAGAGUAUGGCUAUAGCAUACCGCACACACUGUCAGACUGCAUGAGUAGUUUUUUUUUUUUUUAAUCUCUGUUACAAAAGAAGGUUUGGCAGGUAGGAGAGUAAAAUAUAUUUUGGCUAUAAAUGACAAAAACAAAAAACAUCAAUUAAUACAAUAAGCCACCUCUGAGAAAGAAAACCUUGGGUUUAGAAAUUGUUAAUGUGGAAUUCUAGAUCCAUUUAAAUACAACUAUGUGUAGUUGAUGCAUUAUUUUAGGUCAUUAUUGCCUUUCUGACAAAGCACCUCUGUAGAAAACCAUUUUUAUCUUAGAGCACUAGAGCAUGAUACUAGGUGGCACUAAUUGAUGACCCAAAACGUUGUGUGUAGUUUGAUGGGCUAUUUCAUUAUUCCCACAUGUAGAUACUAGGGAAAAUAUUUGUAGAAGUGAUGCUUCACUUUACCAUUUGUAUUUAUCACCAAAUAAUUUAGUGUAUUUGACUUAAUUUAUAUUACUGCUGAGUUUAACUAGUUUAAUAACUUACCCAUGUUGGAAAUUUUCAUAAAAGUAGUGAGCCUCCUAUUAGCUUGCUGGUAGAGAUGCUGUUUGGCAGUUCACAGUUUAAGGUUUCGUUAACAGCUAGCUACCUUCUGCAGUUUCUCUCCACCUGAGGAUUUCCACUUUAUUUGUUGAUAUGAUUGUGCAGCACAGCCUAUGAUGCAUUCACUGCACAGUAGUAGGAUGGUAUAUAGAAUACAGGUAUAUCUUCAGGUGCGUAGAAUACAGCCUUCCCUUAUGAGACUCCAUUCCCCACCCCAUCACCCAUACAGAUAUUUUCAUAGCAAACAAAGCUUUAGUCAUUAAUUUAGUGAAUUUGGCAUAAAUCAAUCAUUUUAUAUAUGGCACAGGAGAAAAUAUUUGUGUUUCCUUUGAAAAUUUUACAACCUUAGAAAAAAGACUCCAGGAACUAAUGAAAUUUGUAUUUUAGAGGAUUAGUGGAGGUUGAGAAAACUUUUUUUUUUUUUUAAGCGAAAAUGAGAGCUCUGAACCCUGCCACAGUCAGGAAUAGUUGAGCAGAUAACCAAAGACUGGAGCAAACUGACACCUGCUAAUGCUGAAAUGAAAAUGAGUCUGGGGGAUGCUGCCUAGUCAAGUUUCAGUUUGAUUUGAGUUGCGUGAUGGGAACAGGUUCCCAGGAAUCUACUAGAAUGAAACUAAAGCAAAGUUGGAACUUGUGGUUUAUGCAAGCAAAACUUGUCAAAACCUUUGAAGUACUCAACAUCACUGUUGUCACUGCUAAUAGAACCUAAUCAUACUCCUGUUUAGUAGUGAGCAAAGAAGUAGCUUUCAAUGUGGUUAUCAUAUUCAACUAGUAAAAGCGGGGACUUGAUUGUUUGGGAGGCAUGGAUUUAUAUAUGCUAGAAGGGUUUGUUCCUUUUGGUUUUGUUGGAUGACAUGAGAAGGGGAUUACUUUAUAGAAUAUGGACUGAGGACCAAGAAGACUGGUCUGUAGCUGUAGCCAGAUCUGAGAAUUUAGAACUUGAAGAACCCUGGGGUGGAAAUCUUUUUUAAUUCCAACCCCUUCAUUUUUUACAGACAAGGCAACUGAAUAUGACCAGAGAGGUUAAAUCAUUUGUCAUAGAUCACACAGGUAAUAAAUAUAACUAGAAUUGGAAACGAGAACUUCUAUAAUUCUUUACAAUCCGUUGUGUUCUGCAUUGCAUGAGGGAGGAAAGUGUUUGAUGUAUGUCCUCUUCCUUCAACUUUUAUUAUUUUUAAAAAUAGCAUCUGUGGUUUGGACUUAGCAGGUGUUAGCAAUGUUAACAUUUAGGAUUAUAGAUCAUAAAUCUAGAGGUCAUCUAGUCCCACUCCCUCCUUGUAAAAUCUUUCAUGAUGAGGCAGUUGAAGCCCUGAAAGAUAGAGCUUUUUGGGGAGAGACAGCCAAACAGUGUUGGGGGCAGGGUGGGAUCUUGUGACUCCCAAUCCAGAUCUUCUGCUGCCUCACAUGCUGCAUCAUUUAGGAAGACUGGGUAUUUAUGUACCGGUAAGUUAACAUUUCCUUUUCACAGCAAUAGCAAUGAAGGAAAAACUUCUCUUUGUGUAAAGUUUAAUACUGAUGAAAAUCCAUUUUAAAUUUUGUUUGGAUGCAGAAUUUUGAAAUCAUGAAGAAUUUGAUAAAGGUGGAAAUGUAGCUCUAAGCCAGAUGAUUAAUCUAUUAAUUAAUGACUUCAUAUGUAGGGAAGUGAUUGUUUAAGUCCACCCAUCUCCAUCUCCCUGGGAAAACCAGGCACAAACAUUCCCCUCUUCUUUCUGCCCUCUUCCCCAGUAGCAACUCUUACAUGGUAGAUUGUGGAAUAACUAUGGUUGGAAUAACUAUGGUAUAUGCUUUUAAAGAAUCAUGGGAAAUAUUGGCAUCAGAGAAAAUGGUACCCAAGCCAAUUUUGUUACAUAUAUUUUUUCAGGUGAAGAAUCUGCAUUAUGAAAUAGUUUUUCCACUUUUGGCAGAAAUUAAGAAUUAUCGUCUCAUUGUGGGUCAUCACCGUGAAAAACAUCAAUUAGAAGAAACAGAACCUAAGCAAUGAAAAAAAAAUGGUAGCUUUUCUAGUUGUCCAGAAAUCCAUGAGAUUGGAUUGGAAAUGUAUGUCUGUAUUAUUCUUUUUAACAAUAGGAAGAGAAACUGGACUUUUAAGAUGGACCUCCCAGAUGAGGAAAUUUUACUAUUUGUAGGCAGUCUGUAGUUUUAGAGGAUACCUAAACUCCAGUUCCUAGAGCACUAGGAAGUUAAAAGAAUUUGCCCAGGGGCUGAAUGUGAACUCAGAUCUUCCUGGCUCUGAGGCCAACUGCAUCUACUCAUCUACCUCUCUGUGCGCCUUUAAAAAAAAAAGGAUAAUAGCAAAACCAAGAAAACAACGAAUGUACAUCAGAAAAGAAAAGCAAAUGGAUGAUGUGCCUAAUGAAUUUCUUCACUGCAGAAGCUGAAGGGUCUGGAAUGCUGAGAGUUUCUUAAGAGUUGGUGCUACUUCAUGGAAAUAAGAUGGGCUCAGUUGUAUUCAAAAGAAAAAAGUUUAAAUCUGUUCUACCCUGGAGGGGGGGGAGUGUUACACCAAAAGAAAGAAAAACCUUUUUUUGUCCAACAAAAAUAUGAAAAGAUAUUUUUUAAUGAAGAUAAAAAUGUUACUUUUUUCCUUUAAAAGCCCACCUGUAGAGAUAUUCUUAUCUCAGUGUAAGAGCGAGCCAACACCUUAAUGGGAUGUUAGUGUAUUUUCUUUGCACCUGGUGGCCUCAGGAUUUCUGUAUGUUUGGGAAGUGGAGUAGAAUUGGAAUGCCAUUUAACAGCUACUUGAACUGCUUCUGUUUGAUUCAUUCAGAAUUCCCAAACAUCUGAGAAGUCACUGUAGAGGUUGUAGCUAUCUAUACAUAUUUCCUUAAUAUCCUGGCUUUGCUGUGCUGAGGGAAAUAUACUGACUUCUUGUCUGAUCAGAAACUUCCAUUUGUCAUCUAACCUUUGAGUAAAAAGAGACCUUGGGUGGAGGCCCUUUUCAUAUUAUAGGAUUGUAAUUGGGAUUGGCUUAUUAUAAUUCUUUGCACAUCUAUUAUACUCCAGUGAGUUCUUUGUUGUCUAGGACAUCUAAUUCAGAUGAGCAAUGAUUGCCUAACCAAAAUAGCUUGUCAGUUUGAUCCUAUUAUAGCUUUAGGGAAACUCAGAGGGUGCUCCAGGCAAAAGUUGCAAUGCUGUCUGUUAGUGGACAUGUGACAAAUCUUGAUGGUCCUGGCCUAGUGGCUCCAGUUGAGGUAUUCAAUCAGGAGACCUUUAAAGACUGGCAUUUGGGCACUACAAAAGAUAGAUUCUAUGAAAGUAGUUUACAGUUGACAUUUAACAGUUAGUGAUUGUAAUGUGUGAAAAGCAGUGAUAUCUUGGUAUUGAUCAUUGCUCUUUAAGCUGUUUCACAUAAGCAUUUGAAUAUAUUUGAUUAACCAGAAAGAUUUAGCUCAUCAAAUUUGACCUAUGAAAGUAUGAGAGCAUACUUCCAUUUUGACAUUUCAAGAACUGCCAUUCAACUAAAGGACCUACUGUGGAGCCAAGCUAAGUAUCGUGCUAAAUUCUCAGGGUGGCAAAAGAAGUUGCUCCCUGCUUUCAGGAAGGUUAUGUUUUAGUCAAAAAGACAAGAUAUGCCAGAGAGUUAAGUAGUGAUGUAUUGUAUCAUGUCAGGCACUGGAAUCAGGGGUUCAGAGUGUUUUGUGGAAAAGUUUGAAUUGGAUUUGGAUGGGAGAGGGACAGCCCACAUGAGAAGAAACAACAAAACUAGAGCUGUUGAGGCAGAAAAUUUGACUGGUAGAGAAGUUUCAUAGUGAAAGUAAUUAGUAAAUAAGAUUGGAGGUGAAGAUCUUAGAUUGAAGAUCCUGGAAAGCUGGGGAGAAGAGGUGAGAAUUGAGUGAGUUGAGUAAGCAAUAAUGAGCCUUCCUAGAUUUUUGAGCAGAGAUAAUAGCAUGGUAGUAGGAAGGUUGAGUUUUAUAGAAGCAUUCCAAAUAGUGGAGAAAGAGAAGGAGUUUAAGAUAGAAAUUACCAUAAUCUAGAUGUGAAGAGAUAUAUCAGAGUAGUAGCAGUAGAGAGAAAGGUGUGUGUGUGUAUAUAUAUGUAUGUAUGUAUGAAUGUAUGUAUGUAAGAAAUCUUUAGAAAAAUAAAUAGACAUCACUGGUGAUUGUAUGGACAACAGAACAACAGAAGGGCAAGGGCUAGGUAAAAUGAGAUAAAGUAACUUGCCCAGAGUCACACAGCUAGGAAAUAUCUGAGGCCAGAUUUAAACCCAGGUUUUCCUGACUCCAGGCUGUCUUUAUCUGUUGUACCACCAAGCUACUCCUGGUAAUUGGUUUCUGAUGUGUAGCCUUCAGGUAAUCAUGGGCCAGACUACUAAGAAGAAAUAUUUAAUAAGUAGGUAAAAAUAUGGAACUGGAGCUCCAUUUGAAAAUUUAAGGUUGAUGUUAGUCAUAAUUUACUAUAGUGAUAAGUUUAAAGAUAUUAGAAUGAAUGAAUUCCCAAAGAAGAGCAGAGGGCCAAGAAUGGCUUAAGGACCUCCUUAAGUUAGGAGGUAGAAGGAAGAAGAGGCAGGAGUAGGUGAAAAAACAAGGUUAUAAUAGGCCUUAAGAGAAGAGAGAAUUAUAGAAAAGGUGUUUUUGAAAAAUUCACCAGGACUUUUCUUUGUUUGGUACAGAAAAUAUAUUGAAUUCAAAAAGUUCUUCAACAAAUCCUGAGUGAUUAUUUAGUUGCUGAAACUUGGUGUGGAUGUUGAAAGUAUCAUUUCUUUGGAAAGAGGGAAGGAAGUGAAAGAAAUGAAUGAAUCUGUUUUGUAUUGGUAUGGAUGCUUGUUGGUCUUCAUGAAGGCAGUAUUUGUGUGCAAGUAUAGUUUAAUAAGACAACUAUUUAGAAUUAGAGCUAGUAUGUACCUUAUGAUAUCAUUCAGAGGAAUGAUUCAGAAUUGGGAUUUUCCCAAUUCUGAAAUGAGGAGUGUUCAAGAAUUAGGUUAUUUCCUUUUCAGAUAUUUCCAUAUAUUCCUAAAAUAUGGCUCUUGGAAGUGGGACUCAUUCAAGUACCUGAAGUUUUUUUAUUUAAAUCUAACAAUACAAAUACUGUAUUUAUGGAGGAGCAGUUUACCUUGUUAUUAUCAAGGUGAAAUUACUUGUUUAUUUUACAAAUUUUCAGAAAUAUUUUUAAACUUUUAUUUAUAAAUUGGUAAAAAAAAGUUUUCUUUAUAGUGAUGUCAAAGGAGAUUUUGGGUAGAAUGCUUACUUUAGUAAACUGAUUCUGAGUUUUGUUUUUUCUUUUAGGUGCCCCACCCAAGUGCAGAGGGGAGAUUUUGUCUGAACUUGGGCAGGGUUCUUCUGCCUAUUUUCAUCUGUGUAUUUCUCUGAAAAUAGGCCAUAGCAUUUAAUGUUUACUUUUAAGUUUGGCAAAUUCAUUAUGUAGGUGCUUAACCACUGUGUUUUUACCCUCUUAUAGGAAAGGCCAAUCUCAAUUUAUCUGAAACAUUAUUUUAGUUCUUUCAUAUUUUUUAAUGAAUAUCGACUUUUUCAAAUUGGAUUGUGUAUGUAGGCGAUUUUGACUCAGUCAUUAACUUAUGUCAGAGAUUGGAGGCUUGACCAGAUUCUUCUGCUGUGCCAAUUAAGUUUAUUUUUUAAAAUCUAGAAAUCAUCUAAUUUGUCCAGUAGAGGACAUUUCCAUGAUUUUUGGAGGGCCCUGAUUGUGUGAAGUAGCUGAAAACAAAAUUGAAUGCUGGUUCUCAGUGUUUGUGUCCCUUUCCACUUAGAUCAGAUGUCCUCCAUUGAUUUUUCUUUCCUUUUGUCAUUGCGGUGGUUUUGUUGUCUAAAGUUCCCUGUCUUCCUUUCAACCCAAGAGGUAGUGAACUCUGGGGGUCAUCAGCAAACUCCUUACAAGGGAAUUUUUUGGGGGGGUUGGAUUUUUUUCUGCCUAUUUUGACCUAAAAUCCCCUUGGUCUCAGAUAGGGAAAUAAUUGGUAUGGGAAAGAAACUUGUAUCCUACAAAUAAAGUUAAAAUCACUUUUUAGUCAUUCAGUCUUUGACCUACAUUGCUAAGGUUUUUUUUUUCCUUGCUUCUACAUAUGAAUAAAAUUACCCAGCCAAUUUAACAGGUUGUUUUUCUUCUCUGUUAAUUUUCUUAAUGUUUCAUGACCAUGGAGAGCUUGAGAUUUGCAGGUAUGAGAGUGAUUUGAAAUAAACUGGGUGGCUGUUUUCACUGUAUUAUAUAUAUAUAAGUACCCAAAGGGUACAAUUUUGGGUUAUUGUCUCAUUGCACUUAGAAGUUGAUAUACUGCAGGGCAUAAACUCCUUUUCCCUUUCUUUUCUACCUAAUACCCCUGAUUUUGAAUUGUUUGGAACUUGUAUAGCUAUCCUUAGGGUUGAGAAUUUAGUGACAUAAAUAGGAAAUUUGGGUAUUGCUCAAUAACAGACUUGUUUGCAAAAGUUGACAUGUUCUCAUUCAGAGGGAGCCACAGUAUGGGUGUGAAUUGAUUGUAUGAGCAUUUGAUCAGUGGCAUUUUAAAAAAAGCUAACCAUAUCAAGUCUCCAGCUGUGUCCUAGCCAUCUUUUUCAGUGUUCAGUUGGUCAGGAUGACCAGUUAAUAUGAGAUUUGCAGUCUGAAGGCCUGGGCGCAGGUCCCAGAACUACCACUAAUUACCAGUGUGACCUUGGGCAAGUCUCUUCUCUUGGGCCUCAUUUACUCAUUUGUAAAAUGAAGGAGUUGAACUUAAUGACCCUUGAGGCCUCUUUUUAGCUCUAAAUUUGUGAUCCUAAUAAAUAAUACAAUUUAAAUCUUCUUAAACCGAGUCUAGUUUGAUUUUAGAUACAGUUUUUAAAAUUACUGAAAUAAAUGGAGUUCAGGGAGCUUUGUUUCUACAAGAAUUACAUGUAGAUAUACCCUUGGACAUAGCUUCUUCAUGAAGUACAGUAAUAUUAAACAGGUAUUAUUGUUAUGAUUCUUUGGAUAAUAUUUCUAGCUUCUUGGCAGCAUACUGAGAAAAUUUAUAAUACCUACAACUUGAAAGUAAUAAUUCAGAAAUAUAAUUCUAACAGUUAAUACAUUAAAAUUUUGAUCAGUCUUUCCCAAUUUUUUAAAUUUUCUCCCUCUUUUAAGAAAUAUAACUUUGAAAAGCUUUCAGAGAAGAAAAGAGUGUAAGAACAAAGAAAUAAAAGAACAGAAGUAAAAGUUUCAAAUACAAAUUGGAAAGUCAAUAAUAUAUGUGAAAAUUUAGUAAUUUUUGGAAAAUCCUGACUAUGAAACUUUUCCCCAAAAUUUAACUGGAUUAUGGAACAUCCUGAAUUGGAUAUCUCAUAGACAUCCUAAAUCCAAUGUGUCCAAAACAAUAGAUUCUUUCCCCCCAAAUCCCUUCCCCUUUUUGAAUAUUCCUAUUAUUCUUGAGGAUAUCACAGUCUUCCUGUUGUGCAGGCGUACAACCCUAGAUAUCAUCCUUCUCUCCUUACUCUCACUUGCCUCCCCAGUAUAUCCAAUUUGUUGCUCAAGUCUUCACUAUUUUCCUUUGUAACAUCUCUCAUAUAUACCCCUUUCUCUGACACUGCCAUCACUCUGAUGCAAACCCCCAUUACUCAACCCCUAGACAGUUGUAAUAGCCUAGUGGGAAGUCCCUCUGUCUUGAGUCUCUCUCCACUCUUCUAGUCCAUUUUAUACUCAGGGGUCAAACCGAUCUCCUUAAAUCUCCAAAUUGACCAUGUUAUCCUUCCUGCUCAGUAAAUUCCCUUUCUCCUCCAGGAUCAAAUAUAAAGUCCCGUAUUUGGCUUUCAGAGGCCAUCCUAAUCUGACAUCCUCCAACCUUUUCUAUCUUCUUAUGCCUUAUUCAUCAUAGACGCCCUUGUUCCUUGCGCAAGAAAGUGGAUGUCUUCUAACUAGGCAUUUUCAGUAGCUGCCUAGAAUGCUCUGCCUCUUGACCUCUCUCAAAUUCCAGCUAAAAUCCCACAUUCUACAGGAAACCUUUCCUUAUCCCUUUUAAUUCUUGUGCUUUCCCUCUAUUGAUAAUUUCCAAUUUAUCCCUCAUAUAUCUUGUUUGUAAGUAAUUGUUUAUAUGUAGUCUCCCCCAUUAAAAUGUAAGCUCUUUGGGAGCAGGGUCUUUUAACUUUGUAUCAUCAGUGCUUAGCACUGUGCUUGGUACACAGUAGUGCUUAAUAAAUGUUAUUGACUGAUUUAUUAUUGGUUGUGUAACUGUAUAGUGGUCUCUUUUCCGGAUUAGUCUUAUUUGGAGAAUCCCAUUGAAAAGGUUUUUUUCUUGAGUGUUUUUUAGAAAACACAAAGAAUUUCUCUUAGAACUUAAAGGAAUUUCUUAGCAAAUUUUUCAAAAAAAAUUUGUUAUUCUCUUCAGUCUAGGAAUCCUACCUUCCUACCCCCAGCAAAUAAUUAUAACAUUCUGGAAUUUUCUAUUGAGGGAAUCUGGGAUCUUAGAGAUAAUAUGUAGGCCCAUUCCCUCUUUUUUCAGAUAAAGAAACUCACACCUGGAGAAGAGAAUGAUGAGACUCAUCCCUAAAGUUACUCAGCAACAGAGCCAGAAUUAGAACCUAUAUCCCUCCUCACUUCUAGUACAGGACUCCUUCCUCACUAAAUAGCCCUAUCUUGCUGCCUCUAGCAAGUAAUACUUGUUUAAUAUUUGUGGAAAAGAGAUGGCAUUUUCAAAUUAAUUUUUUAAACUCUGCUUAGAAAAUGGCAAAAGUGAGUUGUAUUAGGUUUGUAUCACUACUUCUCCAAAUUUUUAAAUUGUGAACCACAACUUGUAGUUCAGGCCUGGGUUGAGACCCUUUUGGUGGCAAUCCAGACUUGUUCUGUUUUGUGUUAUGUAUCCACUUAGAAAGGCUAUUUCCAUUGAAUUCUAUUUGGCUUUGCUUCUAAUCUGGAUUCAAAUUUGCAUGUUAAGAAUUGAAAGGCUAAUAAGGUACCAGCUCACUGUGCCAUGUAACAAAGUCUGCACAUUCUUCAGCUAGCAAAGGAACUGUAAGUCUUUAAGCAUGUGACUCUUGGGUUGCUUUUUAUUCUUUUAAAAAUACUUUGUAAAAAAUUCAGUGUGAAUCAAAUGUGUCAUUGAAUGUGUACCAGUCAAAACUAGGCUUCAGGCAGUAUGGAAAUAUUCCAUUCUCCCACUUCACUUUUUGUGAUCCUUAGCUCAAGUUAGGAAUUGGGGACAAAUUUCUUUAGAAGAGUGUCCUGUGAAAAGACAACUGAAUCUUGACAAUAAAGCUCGUGUCUUGUUUCACAGUUUUGUCACACAAGACAUGUUUAAAGAUAUUAUAUAGUUGAUGCUAAUUAAAAAAUACAUUUUGUGCUCAUGAUGCUGUGCUUUGCAUAACCCAAUUCAGUAUUCUGUAUUUUUCAAUACCAAAUAAUUCUAUUGUUAACUUCUCAAUAAAAACUCAAUUUCAGUUUUUAAAAAAAUGAGCCAUUAUUUUCCAGAGUAAUCAUCUCUAUGUAUAGAACAGGAUUCUCUAAAGAACUGGAUUUGAAAGUCAGAAGUAUUAGCCAUUUGUGUGUGCAGUCUGGGGUAUAUCUAAAACUCCUAUUGUGUACCAAGGGCAGCUAUAAGUGAUUUGAAAUAUAAUAAUAAUAAUAAUAUGAUUUAACAGCUAACAUUUAUAUAAUUCCUGCUAUGUGCCAGACACUAUGCCAAGCACUUUAGAGUCAUUUGAUCCUCACAAAAUCCCAUAUGAUUUUAUAGAUAAAGAAACUGAGGGAAACAGACUUGCCCAGGGCCACACAGCUAAUAUUCAUCUGAGGUCACAUUCAAACUCAGGUCUGAUUUUUUAACUCCAGGUGCUACACUUUAUCAACUGCCUCUAACCUGACAGCUUUACAACAAAUCUUUAAAAGUGGAGUGUGUCGCUGUGUGCCAAAACUUGAACUAUGACUGUAAGAAGGACAGAAAACAUUGUUUUAUUGAAUUGAACCCAUCAUUACAUGGUUUUGUACUAUAAACCACCCCACCCCCAGUGAAGGAACUGUAAUUCAGACAUCAAUGACUUUUGACAGACUGUAAAUUGAGAGGUUGCUGAUCUUGGUUUAUGCAACACAGUUAUGUACCUGCAAGUAAGAUGCUUGAUUUCUUAAAGCACUUCAGCUUGCAAGAGGCUGAAGCAGAAGGGCACAAGGUUGUUUCUCAGCUUUUGGAACCUCAUGAUGUGAACUUUUGGGUGUAUUUAAUUCUUUAGGAGGAGGAAAUGUGCCAAAAGUGUCAAUGUGUGAUCUUACUGUCCUUUUAAUUCUUUUCAAAGCAAACUGUCUUUCUUAGAUGACCUGGUUUGUUUUUUUUUAAUGAUUAAUAAAAACAGACCAAGUAAAAGUCUUAUUUCAAGUACAUUUUUAUAAUUAGACCUGUUGGCAAAACAUAUAAUGACUUGGUUACACAAAGAAGUCUGAAUACUAUACUGUAGUUGCUUGCUUUGUGUUCUCAUCUUCCUCUAUUAUAACAGAGUAGAAUACAGACUUCUAUUUACCCAGGUUUUAUGGUUUUAGAUGUAUUCAAAGCUGAUCUAGUGCCAGGGCUUAGCUAUAAUAGGUAUUUGUGUUUUUGCUAUCAAUAUUGCCAAUAUUUCAACAUUUAUUGAUUAAGAUGGGAACUUACUUUGGUAACAAGAUACUUUAAUUUGAAUAAUUGGAAUGUUUUUUCAAAAAGUUGUCAAUGACAUGAAUUUUGUCGCGCUAAUUGGCUAUAGUUAUCAAUUAAUUUCUGCUUCUCUUUAAGUGGCUUAUUUAUUUAUUUGAGACAUUAUUUCUGAUCUCUUUAAAAGAAUCUGUGGUGGUGUGGAUAUUCCCUACAUCAGGAAAAUUACAAUGCAGCUUCAAUAAAUAGUCUUCUGAGUUAACAAAAAUUUCGUCCCUUAUUAGCUAGGCGUUUGUUGAUGAACCUUUCUGAAUUUAGCUAGCUUUAUUAAAACAUAAACCAUAUACCUAGUUUAUGACCAGGCCUAUAUUCCUAACUUCUGCUGGUCUAGUCUUUAAGAUUAGAAGACCACCUCCAGGCCACAAUGAAGAUUGAAGUCCUUCAAUGAGUGAUUCUCCCCACCCCCCUUAUCUUAAUUGUUUUCUUGAAGUGUUACUACAAUAUUCAGCAAAUAUUUAGAAUUUGAAAGUACUUUUAUACUAGUAUUUUGAAUACACAGUGGUCUUGUUUUCUUUAGAGCAUAACAACCCUUAUUAAAAUUUUUUUCAGACUUUAUCUACAGAGCAAUCUUGUAGAUCAUAUAGUUUACAGAAUGUACUUGAUAAAGUACAGAUUAAGUCAUGCAGGAUAAUAAACUUUGUAUAGUGAUUAAUAUUCCAUGCCACUUUUUUUGUGGCACUAAGAAAUUUAAGUGAUCAAGACAGCUAGCUAGUAUAGCAGACAGAAUGUAGGAUCUGGAAUCCAGAAGACCUGAGUUCAAAUCCAGACUUGGAUACUAACUAGAUAUGUGACCCUGAGAAAGUUAUAAUGCUAUUUGCCUCAGUUUCCUUAUCUGCAAAAUAGAGAUAAUAUAAUAGCAUCCUCCUCACAUGAAAUAGUUGCAAAAAGCACUUUUCAAACCUUAAAGCAUAGAAAACCCCUUCCAUCAGUGCAGACAGACAACCCAAGACUUAGUCAUCAGUUCUUUAUUCUUGGACAUUUGCCCUCAAGUACGUUAUUUGUUUGUAGCCACUCUCCUCUCGAAUCCAUGAUAGCUACAUCUCCCUUGAUAGCAGGCGUAAUGUAGAUUUUUACCAUUUGAAAUUUUCUUCCCUUACAGAAUUUUAAAAAAUAGUUUAUACUCUGGCUCACUUGAGCUAUAUUGCUCUUAUAGUUGAAGAGUUGGAGUUUUUAUUUUAAGUGAAUAACCACCAUCAUCACCCUCCUCUAACUACCCCCUGAAUUUACUCAUGCUACUAAGCAGUUGCUGCCAAUUAAAAUCUGUCAUUAAUCAAUUCUUAACAAAAUGCUGCCAGAAAAAUGGUCUGAAAGAAAUAGUGGUGAAUUCAACUGGUUUAAAAAGUUUAGUUUAUUGUCGAGUGAUAUCUUUUGCAUUUAUUACACUUAAAUACUUCCUAGAAUAUACCUCUGUCUUUCCCUCCCAGAGAGCCAUCCUUUCUAACAGAAACAAAAAAAGUUCAGGAAACCUGACCAAUAUAUAAAAAAAUAUAUCAACAUUGUAUGUAGUAUUCUAUAUCCCUAGACCCUGCCUCUUAAAGAAGCAGGUACAGAAUGGGAGGUACCUUUUCAUAUCACAUUUUGGGGACAUGCUUGGUUCAAGUCAUUUUAAAGAAACUUCUCCACUAACAAAUUGAUGUCGCAUUCUUUUACAUUUGCCCUACCUUUUAGGGGCAGAAAAAUGAUUGCAUCUUGAGCUCCUUUUGCUUCUUGGAAGGUCCUAUCCUGUUGUCACUGGUAAUUUCUCAUGAAUAUGGAAUAAUCCUGAGUUAAUCAUUUGCCUUUCCUUCAUUUUUUAAGGCCAUUUUACUGGCCCCUUGCAUUGAAAUGGCUAAAUUUAAGCAUUUAACUAGGCUUUUGGUUUUUUCCCCAUGGAGGUGAUCUAUGAAUUCUUUCCAUUCCUGCUUUGUUUUUCAAAAGUUCUGGACAUUUUUUCCCCUAUUCUGUCUUGCUUUGUGAUAGUAGGGUUUAUUUAUUUUUUUAAUUUGUGAUGUUUUCUCCUGGGAAAUCUAUAAAUCUCUGUGCAUCUAGUCUUUAAGGUACAUCACUUGGACCUACAUAGAAUUUGUGUUCUUUCAAAAAUAUUCUUUUAAAAGUUGCAUCUCUUCUACCAAGUUUUCCUCUACUUAAGUAUUUUUAUAUUCUGAAUCACUAUCACAGCUUUUUACUUAAUUGAAGAGAUUUUCCAUGUGUUAAAUCCUGACUAUUGUAAUUGUUUUUACAUUUUGCAUUGAAAGCUAUAAUUUCUAACCUAAAAAUUCAUUCUGAAUUUCUCUUCUGUAAAAUUCCUUUAGUUCUCUUUUAAACCCUUGUGAAAUUUCUUCCAGUAUUCAGUGAUCUGUGGGGAACUGGCAAUAUUCUAAAUUUUAUCAAGCAAUAUUAGUUCACUUUCCUUUGUGUUAUUUUAUUUUCAUAUAUGUGUACAUGUACAACACUCUUACCUUCUGUCUUAGAAUCAAUAUUGUGUAUUUGUUCUAAGGCAGAAAAGUGGUGACGGUUGAAUGGCUUGCUUGGAAAUAUCAGACCAAAUCUGAACCCAGGACCUUUCAUCUCCACUGAACCAUCUGUGUUACUGUGUGUAACACUGUGUGUCCUGUGUUACAAUAUUUUUUAAUGGUCAUUUAUUUCAUUUUGAGGUUUCACUCCUUCAGUUUUCAGGAGCCUCUCUGUUAGUGUCAUCUGUUUGUACCCUCAUUCAGGUUUUCUCCAUCAUACUCCUCCUUUCUGCACUAUUUUGACACCUCCCCUUUCCACUAGUACACAUAACAGGCACUCCACCCACAUCUAGAGCUAAACUACAUGGCUGCCCCUGUCUCUUAUGUUUGGGGAAGUGGGAUUGCUGAACUAGGUCUCUCCUGCCCCAGGGUUGGUUUGCAGGGAAGGGAAUGUGGUAGGGAUCCCUGGUUGGGUUUUCUAGUUCCAUUUGAAUUAGCCUGAGUUGCUCGAUUGAAGUUGUGGCUAGGCAAAAAUCUGUGGCCACUCCUUCUUGCAAGGGGAGAGUCAGGACAGUAUUUAGGUAUCCCUCUUUGGGGAGAGGGGAAGUCAGUCAUCAUAAGCUGGUGAGUUUGUUUGUGCUCCGAGUGAGAAUUCUUUUUUUUUUAAUUUAAUAUUUUUUCCCAAUUAUGUGUCAAAGCAAUUUUAACAUUUGUUUUUUAAAAGUUAGAAUUCUAAAUUCUCUCCCUUCCUUCCCCCUAUCUGAGAUGGCAAGCAUUUGAUAUUAGUUAUAUGUGUACAGUCAGAAUAUAUGUCCAUAUCAGACAUGUGAAAGAAAACAGACAAAAAAAACCCCUAGAAAGGGGGCUUUUAAAAGUAUGCUUCAAUUUUCAUUCAGACUCCAUCAAUUCUUUCUCUGGAGGCAGGUGACAUUUUUCAUCAAAAAUCUUUGGAAUUAUCUUGAAUCACUGUAUUGUUGAGAAUAGCUUAGUACAAUUGAUCAUUAUACAAUAUUAUUAUUAUGUACAGUAUUCUGGUUUUGUCCAUUUCACUUUGCAUUAGUUCAUAUAGAUCUUAGAUUUUUCUGAAACCAUCCUGCUCAUUACUUAUAGCACAACAGUUUUCCAUCACAAUCCUAUACCACAUCUUGGUCAGCCAUUCCUCCAUUGAUGGGCAUCCCUUCAAUUUCUAAUUCUUUGCUACCACAAAAAGAGCAUUAUAAAUAUUUUUUUGUACAUGUAGAUCCGUUUCUUUUUUCUUUGAUCUCUGAAAUUCAGUCCUAGUAGAAUUGCUGAGUGGAAGAAUAUGCACAGUUUAAUAGCCUUUUGGGCAUAAUUACAAAUUGCUCUCCAAAAUGGUUGGAUCAGUUCACCAUUCCACCAACAAAUAGUGUAUUGGUGUCCCAAUUUUCCCACAUCUCCUUCAUCUUUUUCUGUCUGUCAUACUACCCAAUCUGAUAGGUUUGGAUGGUACCUAAGAAUUGUUUUUAUUUCUAUUUUCUCUAAUCUAAUUUGUAUUUUCUCUAAUUAAUAGUGAUUUAGAGCAUUUUUUUCAUAUAACUAUAGAAAACUUUGAUUACUUCACUUGAAAACUGUGCCUGUUCAUAAUCUUACACCAUUUAUCAAUUGGAGAAUGACUUUUAUUGAGAAUUCUGAAGUACUCAAAUUACCCUGUUAUGGAAGAAAUAGUUGUUUCUCUUUAAUGGAAUCAGCUGUAAUUACUCUAUAUCUGAUGCCUACUUUCAUUUGAGGUUUUUAGAAGUUUGAAAAGAUAUACAGACAGCAACUUCCACCUUUAGUCACAUGAUGUUUCUUUUCAGGGCAGAGUACUGAAAUAAAAACUUUAAAAUAGGCUAAUAGGAUUUCAUAGCUUAUAUGAGAGAGCUUAUUUCCAGCAUAAAAACAUUUUCUGCUUACCUAUGUUAUGAUUCAGUAGUAAAAGUGAUUAAAUCUGUCUACCUUUAGAUUUGAUUGGGACAAAACUUCAGUGCUUAUAUUAAGUUUUAACACCAGGAUCCUAUUAUAGCAUUGUUUUCAGCGUCCAAAUGUCCUUCCUAUGGAACUUCCUUAUAAUGAAGACCUUUUAGCAUUUUGAUUAUUAAACUCUCUUGGGAUCCAAGGUUAGCCCACAGUACACUGGAUAUCAUGCUGUAGUGGCUAUUUUAUCACUUCCUGAUUGGAAGUAGAGCCAUGUGGAAACUAGAGUUCAUCCUGUAAAAACUUGUCCCCGUGAUCAUUGGAUCCAAGAGCAGAAAAGGUUCAUAUGACCUCACCUCCCUGCCUUCAGGCACAUGAAUGACUGACCAUACUAGGGAGUCCUAACCUUAGUUUGAAUUCAUGGGGGGAGGGUUAGCUCAAUAGAUUUCAAGUCUUUUUUCUAAGUUUUUUUUUUUACUUCAUAUCACCUAUAUUGCUUUCUUCCCUUCCCAAAUGAUCAUUCCUUAUAAUGAAGAAUUUUUUUUUUUUCAGCAAAAGGAAGAAGAGAAAAAAUUCCCCACAAUGAAUUAAUUUACUAAUAAAAAAACCUUUUGUUAUUCAGAAAGUAGAAGCUGUCUUAUCUCUUUUCCUAAGGAUGCCCCACCAUGAGGUAAAUGGCAUACUUGGGGAGCUAAGGAAACUCAUAAGUAUAUUCUCAUAUAUUCCUUCUACUGGGGAUGCAGAGGCUGAAAUCAGUCAGAACUUUUCUACAAAUUUCUUUUAACUAGUGCCAUUCAAUCUCAUGAAAUUUCAAUGCCAAUUCAUCUCUUAGAAUGAACUACAUUGUAGCCCCAACCAUUUGGAAGCAGAGAUGCUAGUGUGAACUGAUAGCAACCAGAGAACCUUUCUCUGGUGUCUAUUUUACCUCCUACCUCCUCUCCUCAUCAUGGUCUGAACCAGAAUGUUUAAUAUUCUUAAAGAGAACUAUCCCUGUUUCCAGAUUUUGAAUUGGGUAAAAACUAGUGCCAUAAGUACUCUCAAGUUUGCAUAAAUAAUUCAUAAUAAAAAGACAUGGCCAAAAUAUAGGCUGUAGUUCUGGACUUCUGGGAUGGCCUUGCUCCCAAAUUCUUUUUAUCUUUGCCUAUCUCCAGAGUCCUGGACCCCAGAGCCCUUGUGUAAAGUCUGUUUGUGCUUCUCUGUAGUCAUCAUAUAUAUCUUUUUAUACAAUACAAUAUUAUUUUGUACUAUAUUCACAUACCAUAAUUUGUUGAACCAUUCCCUGAUAGGUCUUUCCCUUGUUUUCAGUUCUUUGCUACCACAAAACAUGCUGCUGUGAAUAUUUUGGCAUGUAUGGAGCUUUGGAAUCUGGGUCAAAGGAUAUGGACAUUGUUUGCCACUUUAUUUAUAUAAUUCCAGAUUGCUUUCCAGACUGAUCAUACUAAUUCACAGCUCUUGCAGUGCAAGUGUACUUGUCUUUUCCCAGCCCAUCCAAUAUUGACUGUUCUCCUCUUUUGUCAUCUUUGCCAAUUGGCUGCAUAGGCAAUGGAGAUUCAAAGUUGCUUUGAUUUGCAUUCUUUUAUUAGUAAUUUGGAGCGUUUUUAUAUGGUCAUUAAUAGUUUGCAAUUCUUUUCAGAAUUAUUAGUUAAUGUCCUUUGAAUAAUUGUUUAUUUGACUUUUGGUUUUUUAUAUUUCUGUUGUCUAUAUAUCUUAGAUCCUUUAUAUACCCUUAGCAGAGAUGUUUAUUUAAUACAACAGAGAUUUUUUCCCCUCUGAAAUUCUUAGAUUAAUUUUAACAUUAGUGGUUCAGAAUUAAAGACCUUAAGUGAUGUAAGUAACAAAUAAUUCCAAUAAUGUUUGAGCUCCCCAGUAUAAAACUUAACCAAGACAGAAGAACAUUGUCAUUGUUUGUUUUCUGAUAUCCUAGAUUUAGAGCUGGAAGUAUCUUAGAAGCCAUAGAGUUCAAUUCCCCCAUAUUAAAAAUGGAGGCUGAGUUCCAGAGAAAUAAGGUGACUUGCUCAGUUACACUGGUAAAUAAAGCUAGGUUCAACCUUAUCUCUGUAUCUCUAGUCCUACUGUCUCUAAACCUGUACUUUUCCCCCUACUAUAUUGCCUAUGCAGCUUCUGUGUGAAGAUUACCUUAGUCCAGGUUCAGACUACCUAAGCCUUCCUCAGUGUUUUGUUACCUUGAUGGUCAAGAAGGCUCCUUUGUGUCCAGCAAAAAUUGCCAGGUUUGAGCCUAUUUCAGUUUUUGGUGGAUAUGAAGGACAAGUGAUCGCUUUACUUAUUAAAACCCCACAAAUACUUGAAGGCAGUAAUAAAGUCAUUAAAAAAAAAUUAGUGUACUUUUUUGUUGCUGCUGUUGUUUUAUCAAACUGUCAAAUGAAGGGAUUUCCUGCCAAGAUAACUAUCAUGAAUCAGCAGUAAAAAUACAUAGUAAAAUAUUUGAGGCUUUUUAGUUCACAUCCAAAGGGGAAAAUAAGCAUAAAUAAAUUGAAGAUGAUUUAGAAACAUCAAAUUGUAGAAUCUUAUUUGGAAAGGAUCUUAGCAUCUUGUCCAGGCCUAGCUCAUGAAUAAAUCUCCCUCUCAUAGCAUUGUUAGCUAGUUUUUGUUUGAAUUAUACUUUUUUUUUUUAGCCCUUACCUUCCGUCUUGAAGUCAGUACUGUGUAUUGGCUCCAAGGCAGAAGAGUGGUAAGGGCUAGGCAAUGGGGGUCAAGUGACUUGCCCAGGGUCACACAGCUGGAAGUGUCUGAGGCCAGAUUUGAACCUAGGACCUCCUGUCUCUAGUACUGGCUCUCAAUCCACUGAGCUACCCAGCUGCCCCCAUACUUUUUUUUUUUUAUACACUCAUUUACUAAUUGUAUUCCUUAACCUAGUACUUGUUUUCCAAAAGCACAAACAUUAUGGUAUAGCUGCCUUUCUUACUCAACUCUGAUUUUUUUUAUUUUUUAAUCAUUAAAGGGGCAGCUACAUAGCAGAGUGCAUAGAGCUCCAGGUCUGGAAGUGGGAGGACUUGGGUUCAAAUGUGGCCUCAAACAUUUUCUAACUGUGUAACCCUGGGCAAGUCACUUAACCUCGAUUGCCCUUGCUGCCUUUCUGUCUUAGAAUUGAUAUGUUGUAAGGGUUUUUAAAAAUUCAUUGAAGUUCUGGUCUAGGAUGAAGUACCCUGGCACCUAGAAGUACUUUCUUGUUCUGUCUUCCUUUUAUCUAGGAAAAGAAAUGAGUUCCUGCUUGCUUUUGUAAGACACAUUCUAAAAGAUAUUGUUAGUUUUAUCCUCUAUAUAUCAAAGUUUCUGUUUAUAGAAUAGAUAUUCAUAUAUUGUAUCACUAUUAUAUAUAUAUGUUUUAUACACUCAUGUGUAUAAAUAAAUUUUUAAUACUUUUAAAGGAAUAAAUAAUAAUAAUACUUGUCUCCCUAUUCUCUUUUCCUUCGUACCAGGGGUUAGCCAUGGCAGAGAAAGAGAAGGAAACCUAAGAAAUGAAUAAACUUAGUGAAAUAGAGGAGAAUUGAUUUGCUUAAUUGAAAAAUUAAAGAAAGGUUAAGGUGAGACAACUACAUGGAAGCUGCCUUUUCCUGCAUCUUCCUUUGAAAGGAGACUCCCAUUUCAUAAAGUUGGGGAGACUGACCAACUCACUGUUCCUCAUUCGUGCCAUUCCAGCCAGGAACUGAGCCUGAAUGCAUCCUUCUUCAGAAGACCAUUGUUCCCUAUCUUUCUGUUGCUGGAAGCAUCUCUUCCCUUCUUCCCCAUUAAACUUUGCCCUAUUUCUACCCCCACUCCUCCAAAAAAAAUUACCUUGUUUUUACUUAGUACAUGUUUUGCUUUUGUCAACCCUUUGAGGUUUACUGUUUAUGUCUUAAUAAACCUAGCUAAAUUCAAAAAGGUUUAUCAACAAAUGCCCAGCUAAUAAGGGAUGAAAUCUUGGGUAACUCGGAAGAUUAUUUAUGAAAAUGCAGCAUAAAUUUUUUAAAAAACAUUACUUUCUGCCUGAGUAUCAAUUCUAAGACAGAAUUAGAUCAAGGACUAGGUAAUCAAGGUUAAGUACUUGCCCAGGGUCACAUAGCUAGGAAGUGUCUGAGGCCAGAUAUAAACCUAGAUCCUCCCAACUCUAGGUCUGGUGCCUUAUCUGCUGUGCUACCGAGCUGCCCCAAACUAAUUCUUUUUUAGAAGAAUGUCUAGAGCUGAGAGAUUUAACAGUGGUCAGAGAGUUAUAGUGUACCUUGCCUUCAAAUGAUAUUACCCCCAAAGCUCUGCUUUUGUAAAUACCUACUUUCUUCCUCAUAAGCACUUGGGUAGCAAAUGUUACUAGGAUAAAGGGCUUUUGAGGGAAAAUUGGUUCAUUGGUUUAAAUUGUACCUUAUUAGUCACCUUUUUCCAGAACACAGAGUAGGAGAUAGAAAUAAGAUCACAGUGAAGACUCCAAACUAGCUGGGCAUACAUGUUCUGUAGCAUUCUGAGAGCAUGUAGACAGUGCAGUACUAGUGGUCACAUUCUUUAGCUAUCUUCUGGAGGUGGAAGUUAUCUUCAUUUUGAUAGAGGAGCUCUGUGAUAGCACAGGCUCCCUUCACCUAAUUUCCCAAGACCAUAGGACCUCGAGCAAAAUGUUUCCCAGCCUCUUUAAGAUAGAUUAUCUGAUUUGUUAAAUGUUGACAUAAAAUAUCUAGAUUUUGACAAGUCAUUUGACAGUUUCUUAUGACACACUUUUGAACUAGACAAAGAAAGUGGCCUGGAUAGUAGUUCUGGGUAGAUUUCUACCUGAUUGAAUAAUUCUCUGGGGCCAAAGGGUUUUCAAGAGAUUGAAGUCAGUUAGCCAGAGAAAGGAAAGACUGAUAUGAUGUCAGCAAAAUUCUAAUCCUUGAUCCUGACAGUUUAAAUGAAGUUGGAAAAGAUAUGCUUAUCUGAAAGUGGGGAAGAUGAGCUGAGACACUGGAUGAUAGAUUCUGGAUUCAGAAUUGCUAGAAACUGAAAUCAACAAGAUGCAGUUUUGCAAGAGAGUAGAGGACUCAGGAAGAACCUUGAGGGAUCCCCAUCAUCAGGGAGCACAAUAUGUAUGAUUACCCAGAAAGGGAAGUGAGAAGGGGCUAGACAGAAAAGAGAGUAUCUAGGCAGACAGAGGUAUCAAACACUAUCAGAUGGUAUAGGCUGGAUAUAUGGGCUGAAAAAAAGACCAUCAGAUUUAGUGAUUGAGAGAUCAUUUUGGAAAGCAGUUUCAGUGGAUUGAUGAGGAUGAAAGCUGUAUUGCAAAGGAAUGAGGGAUGGGCAAAAGGAGAAGUGGUAGUAUGGGGGUAUUGAUAACUUUUUCUAUAAGUUUGGCUAAAAGUAUGCUUUUUCUUGGUCUGUCUUCUUCACCUUUCGGCAACAUUUUAUAUUGCUGAUUGUCUCUUCUUUGAAUCAGUCCCUCCCCUGUCUUGUGUGACAGGAUAUUAUCAUCCUGAUUCUCCUGCUUUUUACUUCUCUCCCCUCACUGGAUAUACUCUAUAAAGCUUAGUCCUUGCUCUCAUUUUCUUCUUGACACUUGAUCUACCAGAGAACUCUAUCAUGAGAAGCAUAAUGAAGCUGCUCAGUGAUUGUAGUCAGAGGAUCGAGUCUGAAGCACAUCUCAGUUACUUAAUCUUUGCAUGACCUUAGCCAAAGCAUUUAGCCCGUUGCCCUCACUUUCCUCAUCUGUAAAAGGAGGGAGUUUAGGGACUAGAUCUCCAAGGUCCUUUCCAGUUCUAUAUCUGUAUUCUUGAGAUUUCUAUUCAUGGCUUCUAGUCCAAACAAGAACUGUUUUCCCUAUUUACACUCUGCUUACCUCUACAUUUCCAAAACUGAACAUUUCUCAAAAAAAUCACUUCUCAGUGGGAAUUGGACCCUUUGGGAGCCAACUGACUCAGCAGGGAAUACUAUUCUUGGGAAAAGAUGGAAUGCUAUAGAUUAUACAGUAAUAUGAAUAGAUGUAUUCAAAACAGGUGGUUGUGAUUUUUUUCUUUUAAAGAUUCAUUUUUUAGAAUACUACUUAGCUUCCUUCAUAACUCUUCCCUUCCCAGACUCUGAGAGACAUCCUUUCUAAGAUUUUUUUUUUUUUUAGAGAAAGAAGAGGGGAGGAAACUAACAAAAACAAAUCAAUACAUGGAAGAAAUCAGAUUUUUAUGUAAUGAUUUACACCCAUGUGGAAACCUCUGCAAAGGAGAAAGGGAACAGGAUCUACUUAUAACUAACUAUUCUUUGGAUCCACAGAAUCCUUAUUCUUUAUUAAAAAAACAACAACCCUGGCCUUCUGUCUCAGAAUUGCUUAGAAAGGCUGAGAAGAAGGAUUAAGCAUUUGGGGUUAAGUGACUUGCCCAGGGUCACAUAGCUAGGAAGGGUCUGAAUCUCUUCUUUAUGAUCAGAAUGGAUUGUUGGCUGGCCAGACUCCAAGUGGCAGGAUAUCUCUAGCGAAGUGUCCCACGGAUCUUUUCUCAGCUCUGUUUUAUCAAAGUCAUGGAUAAAGGAUAAAUGGUAUGCUCAGCAGAUUUAUAAGUGACAUCUAGAUGGGAGGGAUAGUAAACAGUGGAUAUUUAAGUCAAGAUCCAAAAAGAUCGUAAACUACAGAAUUGAGCUAAAUUAAUAGAUGAAAAAGUUGUAAAGUCUUAUACACAGGUACAAAAAAAACCCAACUUCACAAAUGCAGAAUGAAAAAGGGGCAACUAAAUUGUAAUUUGUCUGAAGAUUUCUAUAGAUUUACUGAAUUGCUACCUCAACAUGUCAGCAGUGUCAGCAACCAAAAAAGCUAAUUGGAUCUCAAGCUAUACUAAGGAAGACAUAGCUUCCAGGAACAAAGGGGAGGUUGGAGGGAACAUUUAUUAAGUGACGACACUGUGCCAGGCACGUGCUAAAUUCUUUGGAAAUAUUAAUCUCAUUCAAUCUUUAACAACUUUGGGAUGUAGGUACUGUGUUAUCUUCAUUUUUAGUAGAGGAAGCCAAGGCAGACAGGUUAAGUGACUUCUCGGGGUCACACAAGUGGAGUGAGAGAGACUGGAUUUGAACUCAAGGCUUCUCGACUCCAGGCCUGGUGCACUGUUCAUUGUGCCUUCAGCUGCCAAGGAGAUGAGAUAAUGGUUCCUCUAUACACUCCUAGCAGCACGUGUGAAGUAUUUCCUUUUGGGUACCACAAUUUAGGAAGGACAGUGUUACACUAGAGAGCAUCCAGAGAAGGAUAAUAAUAUGGAUAUUGGUGGAUUUUAGCCUGGAAAAGAGAAGACUUGCAGGAGGGCAGUGGGACUUGAUAACUGUGUUCAAAUAUUUAAAAGGCUUAUCAUGUGGGAGAAAGCAGAUUUAGAACUAAAAGGGACCUCAGGGACCAUUUAAUCCCAGCAUCUUCUUUUUAUAGAUGAGGAAACUGAGGCCAAAGGAAGUUAAAUGAUUUGCCCAAAGUCACACAAACAAUAGGGAAGCAUCAGAGGUACAAUUUGAAUCCAAGUCCUUUGACACCAGAAGCACAUUGUAGUGUUUUUUUUCCCCUAUACCAUACUUUGCCUGGCUCUGUUUGGCCUUGAUCACAAAAAGGCAAAUUUAGGCUUGAUUAGAUAAAAGCUUGCUAGAGAUGAGAGAUGUCCAAAAGUAGAAGGGACUUCCUCUGGAGGUGCUGGUUUCCCUCAGUGGAAGUCUUCAUUUACCAACCGGAUAAUGACCAGUUACCAGGACCAAAUGACUAGCAUGAACUCAACUGAUUGACAUAUUAAAGUGAAGUUAGGGGUGUUAGAAUGAAGUUUUAUCAUAAUGUCUGUUACAAAUUUCACUUUAAACAAGGUAAGGUACUUACUAUCCCUCUUUGGCUACCUGAACUUAAUCACACUUGAACUAUGGAUUUUUUAAAUUGACUGUUUUGGCUAUAACUGUGUUAUCUCCCUCAUUAAAAGUUUAUUUUACUGAUUUUAUAUGAACUGACAGGCAAAAGGAUUUAAGAAAGUAUUCAAAAGCGGUAUGUUAGCAUCAUACUGGAUUGGACUGCUGACUAAAGGUGUAUUUGACAUUAUUCCAGUGCGAAAUGUGCAACUGAUGCUUUUACAAGAAGCCUAAAACUGGACAGGCAGUGCUUGCAGCCAGGAGGUAAUUUGAAUUUAAACACAAGUAUUUACUACUAGUCAAGAAGAGGAACCUUCGUCAGUAGAUGGAUGAAGAAAGAUUUGUACCACAUCUUCUUAUGAUGUAUAUCCACAAUUUAUGCUUUAAGUUUCUACAUAUUCAUUCUAAUUUAAACAAUAAGUGUUUUUUGACUGACUUGUAUCUAUUUAGGAUGUUGAUAUGACUUGAAGCUGUGAAUGGGUUUAUCAUUGUUACAUAAAGUUCAUUUUAUGAAUGAAAUUGUCAUAAUUUUAAAUAUAAUAGUUAGAGCUACCUCCCCUCCCCCCCUUCAUGAGGAAACAGAACUAAAUAGAAAUAUGUGAAGGGGACACUUUUCAGUUUUUUGUUUUUCAGAUGUGCCUUCUUUAAUGAGUUAUUUGGGGAAGAGUUUUUUUUUUUUAUUUCUUGUCCUUAAGCCAUUUGGGUUACAGCAGGUUUUCCAGUAAUCCGAUCUCAGUUUAAAGAUCUUUUAUUUUGAAAAGAAUGAAAUUUAGUUUGUGAAUGAAAAGAUUUCUUGAAUAUACACGUUAUGAAAAUUGAAACAGUGGAGGGAGAGCUUUGUUGUUUUCCAACAAACAAGUUGUUUUCCCCCCAUCUGGCAUUUCUUGUCUAAGAAUUCCAGAAGUUGGAAAGGUAACUUUCACGUUUAGCACAUCUGUUUUUGGAAAAUCCAGAUUUAAUUAUAAGAGUAAAAUUGAGAGACUCUUAUGGUUUUUAAACCAGAGGCAAGAAUGAAAUGUGGGGGGAAAUACCUGUCACUGCUACAUGCAAUUUGUUCUAACACCUGCCCUAUUAGCCUAGUUCUGGGCCCCAAAGUAGCAAUUUAACACAAAUCUCACCCAGAGCAUAUGCUGCCAUCACUUCCCUCUUCCUCCUCCUCUUCUAAAUUAGCAGGUAUAGAAAAGAGGACCGAAUGGAAAAUGUGUGUGUGUGUCUGUUUCUCUCCAUGUCCAUUACUUCCCCCGCCCCCCAUUGUUCCUUCUGGUGGUUUUGUUUGUUUGUUUGUUUUGGUGAAGGUAGUGGAAUGGAGAGGGAGGCUGUCUUAGUGACCAUAAAAAACAGCUUUUAUGACCCUGAGCCAAGUUUCCCUGCUGUCUGUCUCUUUCUAGCUUGCCUUUUGCUUUGCUCAUUUAUUUCCUAUGGAAAUAACAAAGUAUACAUGUUCUCCACUUUCCUUUCCUUUUCCCCCAUCAUCCUUCAGCCUCUUCAACAAGAGUCAUUCCUGGAAUUAAUGCCUAGAAACAUCUAAAUAAUGACUGUUUUUUUUACCUUUGAUAGCUAUCUGGCACUAAAAAUGUGUUCUAAAAAGGUUAAUUUAGAAAUGGGAGAAUUAGGUCAAUAGAUCAGUUUGAUGUAGAAAAUGCUGUUAGAUUAAACUUUCCAUCAGUAGGAUGGAAGAAACUCUGUUCAAUUUAAUUGGAUUUUUAAAUUUACCUAAAUUUCUCCUGCUCCUUUCCCAAAUAUUCAGAAUCCUGCCAUUUUAAAAUACUAUCAUGUUUUGUUUGCUAAGGAGUAUUGUAAGUAAACCAUGUUGGAGAUUAAUAAUCUCAACCUACCUUAAGAUAUUUUCAAAAGCUUGAGAUAAUAAUAUUAUUGACUUCUAAAUCUCUCAGGCCAAAUGCAUUUUAUAAUAUUAACCUUGCCAUUUUCUGGAAAUUAUGUGUUAUAUGUUAUUCUCCUGAGUUCUUUCCCCUUGGGUACAUAGGUAAAAAAAUUAAUAUAUGGAAAGGAGAGGUAAAUACAUAUUUAUAAAAUUGUUAUGCCCUUUCCCAAGUAUUUUAUUUCUAGGAUUUGAGGUUUAAAGUUGAUUAUAAAAAUGUCUUACCUUAAAAUAUUUCUUUUUAAACAUUAAAGAUAAUGUGAAUAAGCCAAAAAAAAAAAGCAUCAUUGAGUGAAGCUUAUUAACACCUCUCUAUUCAUCCCAUGAGCUGUAAUUACAAAACAGUGUGUUGAUUCAGCCCAGGAAGCAUACAUCAUCCUUCCUUCCCCACCCCCCUCCCCCAGCAAUAUACUUGAUUAUUUGGGGGAAGCCACCUGAAUGUGAAUGUAGAUUAUAGCAUAUCUAAUAAUGGGAACUUAAAGUAUACUCAUUAAAAGAUGGUUCCUAAAAUAAGCAAUGUCUCUUUAAUAUACUGAAGGAAAAAGGACUGAUUUUAAUAUAGUCUUUUUUUUUUUCCAAAAUGAGCUGAUACUUAUGUUAAUCCCAGCUAGGCAAAUGUAAAAUCUCUUUUGGUUGUCAUUUAAGUGAAGAACAUAUUACCUUGAUCAGAAUUUUCCCAUCUCUGGUUCUAAAAUUGGGUAGUAUAUUCUCUCUAACCAUAAUUUUAUAAAAAUAAAUACAGGAAAAAAAACCCUAUAAAGACUACCUACCUAUUUUCACUCUUUAAAAAAACAAAAAACCCUUACCUUCAGUCUUAAAACCAAUAUCAAGGCAGAAGAGUGGUCAGGGGUAGGCAGGUAGGGUUAAGUGAUUUGUCCAGGAUCACACAGCCAGAAAGUGUAGCCACCUAGCUGCCCCUGCCUACCUACUUUUGAUAAAAACUGGACCUGGACUCCCCCCUCCAGAAUGCAGCCAAAAGUCCAUAUGAUCUAACCAGCUUUAUAGCACCAGUAGAAUAAAAUGUAUCUGAAUUUGAUUGUAUUGAGUAUUUUGAAACACCUUAAUAUUUCUUCAGAUUGAGUGUGCCUCUCACCAAAGAUCUAGGUAUUGAUCACAUCCAGUCAUUUUUUCCUCCUGAAUUGUUUAUGUAUCCUUCCUUUUGUUUCCAUUCCUCUUGCCUCCCCUGUGGUUCUUUUUUUUUUAAUCCAUAACUUCCACUUUAGAAUCAAUAUUGUGUAUUGGUUCUAAGGCAGAAUUGCAAGGGCAGGGGUCCCCAAACUUUUUACACAGGGAGCCAGUUCACUGUCCCUCAGACCGUUGGAGGGCCACACUAUAAAACCCUAACCCUAACGGGGCAGCAGUAUGCACAGUGCAGAAUCUCCUCCCCCAGAUCGCCGCUCACCAUGCCGAUGUCUUCCAUUGUGCAGCCACAUAAUCCUUUGCAGGGCGCCUUGUUCUAAGGCACCACACAAAGGAUUAUGUCACCGGAAGUAGUACUGUACGUGAGCAACACUGCGCUUUGCAGCACCACAGUGCUCCUCUCACCACCAAUGAAAGAGGUACCCCUUCUGGAAGUGGGGUGGGUGGCCGGAUACAUGACCUUUGGGGACCCCUGAGCUAGACAAUGGGGUUAAGUGACUUGCCCAGGGUCACACAGCUAGAAAGUGUCUGAGGUUAGAUUUGAACCCAGGACCUCCUGUCUCCAGUGAGCCAUCCAGCUGCCCCCCAUCCCCCCGUAGUUCUUAACAGGCUUUAUGACCUCAUGCUUAAACUGUUACCAGCUUCUUCCUGGAUUUUCCUGUUUCUUCUCUACCUACUCUAGCCCAUUUGUUCAUUGCUGCCAGAUUCAUCUUCCUAAAGUUAUACUUUGUUCAUCUUAUUCUUCUGUUUAAGAACCUUUUAGGACUCAUUCUUGUUAAUAGGCUCCUUCACUUGCUCUUAAUCUCCCCAGUCUAGUUCCAAUCUACCUUUUCAGCUUUAUCUCCUACUCUUCCUGUAGAUUUUGAGCUCCAUUCAAGCUAGGGCCUGUUUCUGCCAACACAUUUUUAUUGACAUUCUAGUCACCUCAGAUGACCUCUCUCUGACAGAAUUUUAUGCAUCCAACUCAAAUCCCACCUCCUUUGUAAUAGCUUUUGGGCCUCUUGAAUAGGAAGUGCUUUCUUCUCCCUAUGCCCACCCCAAUAACAGUCAUUGUAGGUUCUGGACAUUGGGCAGUCUGCAACACUUGCUGACAUUAGUGAUGAGUCACAUUUGUCUUUCCUCCCCAAACAGAUUUAAAGUUCCUUCAGGUCAGACUUCAUCUUUUGCUCAACUCAGUAAACAUUUAAGCACCUUCCAUGAGCAGUUUUCCCUGCUGGGCAACAGUUCCUGUCUACAAGAAGCUUGAAGUUUAGGAAGAUAAGAUCACUGUAACACAAAGCUAUUUGUGAAGAGGCCUGUAUGAAAGAGAAUGUACUUCAGCCACAACAAACAUGGACGUUUUCAGAGACACAUCACUUGAACUAGAUUCUGAAGAGGAAUGGAAUUUUUAUACUCUUGUGUAUAUAGCUGAUUGGAUAUCCCAGAUAUUCCAGGAGGAGGUGACAUAGUACCAUGUUCCAAGAACAACUAGGCUUUCGUUUUGACUGAAAUGUAGAGAAAAUAGUCAGAGAUCUGAUUUAUUGCCAAAUCUUGUCAAUUCUACCUCCAUAAUAAAUUCCUAAACUCCCUUGUAUUCAUUUUGUAUAUUUGAUAUUAACUUGUGUAUGUUCAUGUUAUUUCCUCUAUUUGAAUACAAAGUCCUUUAAGGAAGAGACUGUUUUGUUUUUGUAUCCCUGGUCCUUAGCCCAGUGCCAGGUACAAUUUUCUGUUGUUCAGUUGGUUUAAUCUAGUUUAACUCUUCAUGACCCCAUUUGGGGUUUUGGCAGAGAUACUGGAGUGGUUGACCAUUUCUUUCUCCAGCUCAUUAAACAGAGUUCAGUGACUUGCCCAGAGUCGCAUAGCUAGUAAGAGAAGUCUUCCUGAUUCCAAGGCGGAAAUUCUUAAUUAUUGAGCGACCUAGCUGCCCCUGGGCACAGAAUAACCUCAUAACAAAUGUUUUUGAAAUAACACAGUAGGUACAAUUCCAAACCUGGAGUUGAAAGAACGGCAUUCAAUUUCAGCUUCAGACAAGUCCUAGCUGUGUGACUGGGCAAGUUACUUAACCCCAGUUGCCUAGACUUUACAGCUCUAAUGCCUUAGAGAAAAGGUAACAAAUAAACAAAUGUUUGCUUGAUUGAUUGCAUUUAUCUUCUUUCUGCUCACAGGGUCACCCUUAAUAGAGUUCUUAUCAGCUCUUUCUAGAACUAUUGAAGUCAUACAAAACACAUUUUCAUAUGUAGUUGUAAAAGAAAUAGACAAAAAGAAAAAAAAGUUAAGCUUAAAAGAAGCUAGGUAGCUUAGUGGAGUGAGAACCAGACCCAAAGAUAAGAGAUCUUGGGUUCAAAUAUGACCUCAGAUACUUUUUAACUGUAUAACCUGGGCAAGUUAACACCCAUUGUCUAGCCUUUAGCACUCUUCUGCCUUUGAACCAAUACUUAUAUAUCAGAGUAGCUAAGUCUUUCACAGUUGAUCAUUAUUAUAAUGUCGCUAUUACUAGGUACAGUGAUCUUCUGAUUCUGCUCCUCACUUUUCACAAAUUCAUGUAUUCACAGGUUUUUCUGAAACUACUUUGUUCAUCAUUUCUUAUAACACAGUAAUAGUCCAUCACAAUUCCAUGCCACAGUUUGUCCAGACAUUCCCCACUUGAGGCAUCCCCUCAAAUUCCAAAUCUUUGCCACCAAUAGAAGGGUUGUUAUAAAUAUUUUUAUACAUAUAGGUCAGUUUUGGCAAAAGUUUUCCAGUUCACAUGCCCAAACUGCAACUUUAUGCUGCCUGUGAGCCCCCUGCAUUGCCUCAGAGAACAGAAGGAGGAAGUGCUUGCUUUGGGUGGCUGGACAGAGGGGAGAGGCAUGCAAAAAAUGUCCUUGGGCGCUGGAACAAGGGGGAAUGGAGCAGCCCCCUCCAUGCUGGCUGAGCACAUGUGCCAAUACUUCGCCAAUGCUAAUAUAGGUGCUUUCCCUUUUUCUUUGAUCUCUUUGGGAUAUAGACCUAGUAGUGGUAUUGCUGGAUCAAAUAGUAUGCACAGUUUUAUAGCCUUUGGGAAUACGAGUAUCCCUUCCACAUUGUAACUUUCCCUAUUGAGGUUGUGAUAUAUCUUGGGUUGUCAUAAGAAAUUAAAUGGGAUUUGGGGGGGAGUUUUGCAGAAGCCAUAGACAACACUUGAAGGCCAGCAGGUGAUCCAGAAAAGGUUUAGAAACUCAGAAAUGUAUAAAAUAUAUGUAGAGUAUUAUAUAAUAUCAACUUAUUUUAUUUUUAAUACCAUGAAUAUAUACAAUUUCCUUUACCAUAAACACCCCAUAAAAGAAAAAGAAAAAAAUUCAGACUUCUUCUCUGGUAUGAAAGGAGAGCUAAAAAAUUUUAUGCAGAUGUUCCAGAUUUCAGGGGUACCAGGCCUCUAAACCCUGAGAUGUGGAAGGGAUACCUGUAGUUCUAAAUUAUUCUCCAGAAUGGUUGAACCUAGUUCACAACUCCACUGACAAUGCAUUAGUGUUCUAAUUUUAUCAUAUCCUCUCCAGCAUUUGUCCUUUUCUGUUUUUGUUGUGUUGGCCAAUUUGUUAAAUGUGAACUGGUAUCUCAGAGUUGUUUUGAUUUGUAUUUUUUCUAAUGAGUAGUGAUUUAGAGCAUCUUUUCAUGUUAUUGGUGAUCAUUUUGAUUACUUUGCUUGAAAACUUCCCCGUUUCUAUCCUUUGACCAUUUAUCAACUGAGAAAUGACUUUUAUUUUUAAAAAUUUGACUCAGUUCCCGAUAUAGUUAAGAAAUGAAGUCUUUAUCAGAGAAACUUGGUGUAAAAGUUCCCACCACCACCACCCUAUUUCCUAUAUUCCUUCUAAUUUUGACUACAUUUGUUUGUACAAAAGCUUUUUAAUUUCAAGUAAUCAAAAUUAUCUUAUUUAUUUCAUGUAAUCCCCUUUAUCUCUAGUUUGGUCAAAAACUCUUCCCUUUUCCAUAGAUCUGAUAGGUACAUUUUUUUUUUCAUGCUCCCUUAUUUACUUGUGAUAUUAUCCUUUAUGCUUAAAUCAUUUAUCCAUUUUGACUUUAUCUUGGUAUCAAUGUGAGAUGUUGGUCUGCACAUAGCUUCUUGCCAAACUAUUUUCCAGUUUUCUCAGCAAUUUGUCAAGUGUUGAGCUCUUAACCCAGAAGCCUGGAUCUUUGAGUUUAUCAGACACUAGCUUACUGUGGUCAUUUAUUACUGUGUAUUGUAUGCCUAAUUUAUUCCACUGAUCCACCACUCUACUUCUUAGCCAGUACCAUAUUGUUUUGAUGAUUACUGCUUUGUAAUAUAGUUUAAAAUCUGGAACUGGUAGGCUGUCUUCCAUAAAAUUUUUUCUGAUUGAUUCCCUUAAUGUUUUUGACCUUUGGUCUUUCCAAAUGAUUUUUGCUAUUUUUUCCUAACUCUAUAAAAUAAUUCUUUGGUAA